ACGCACGCUGGCGGCGUGCUUCACCCCUGCCAGUCGAACGGAAAGGCCCUGCUUUUGUGGGGUGCUCGAGUGGCGAACGGGUGAGUAACACGUGAGUAACCUGCCCUUGACUUUGGGAUAACUUCAGGAAACUGGGGCUAAUACCGGAUAGGAGCUCCUGCUGCAUGGUGGGGGUUGGAAAGUUUCGGCGGUUGGGGAUGGACUCGCGGCUUAUCAGCUUGUUGGUGGGGUAGUGGCUUACCAAGGCUUUGACGGGUAGCCGGCCUGAGAGGGUGACAGGCCACAUUGGGACUGAGAUACGGCCCAGACUCCUACGGGAGGCAGCAGUGGGGAAUAUUGCACAAUGGGCGGAAGCCUGAUGCAGCAACGCCGCGUGCGGGAUGACGGCCUUCGGGUUGUAAACCGCUUUCGCCUGUGACGAAGCGUGAGUGACGGUAAUGGGUAAAGAAGCACCGGCUAACUACGUG
rnacentral:rRNA from 1 species